GGAGAUUUCGAUUCUCUCUAAUUCGUCGGGUCUGUCAGGCUGCGGAGCAGAAAAUUAAGCAGCAAUGGUGAUUAAGUGUGGUUGCCUGCUCGUUGAGAUUCGUGUGCAGAAAGCUAAUCGAAGCGACUCCCGCCUUAACAGCACGGCCGUGAAUUUGCUCGCCUAAU